rnacentral:rRNA from 1 species
CCUACGGGAGGCAGCAGUGAGGAAUAUUGGUCAAUGGACGAGAGUCUGAUCCAGCCACGUCGCGUGAAGGAUGACUGCUCUCUGGGUGGUAAGCUUUUUUUAUAUGGGAGUAAAAUGUUCCACGUGUGGGAUCUUGUUUGUACCAUAUGAAUAUGGAUCGUCUAAGUUCGUGCCAGCCGCCCCGGUAAUACGGUGGGUGCGUGGGUUAAUCGGAAUUACUGGGCGUAAAGCGAGUGUAGGCGGUAUGACAAGUCAAGGGUGAAAUCCCCGCGCUCAACGUGGGAACUGCCUUUGAAACUGGCAAACUGGAGUGUGGGAGAGGAUAGUGGAAUUCCAGGUGUAGGAGUGGAAUGCGUAGAUAUAUGGAAGAACAUCAGUGGCGAAGGCGACUAUCUGGCCCGCAACUGACGCUGAGGAGCGAAAGCAUGGGUAGCAAACAGGAUUAGAUACCCGUGUAGUC